ACAUGCAAAAAAUCUUCAAAACAUGAACACGCAUUACUAUAUAUUAAAAAACACAUAACAUACAUAUAACUAUAUGUUACUACACGUGACUAUAGUUAUCUACAAUCAUUUAUAGGUAUAUAAGUGACAUAAGUCUGGAGUACUGUAGCAGGAAUGCAACUUCACAGGGCACUUCUCUGCAUCUUAUUCUUUGUAUCUCAUAAUGUUAUACAAAGCAAAACCUGUGAAAAAAAAUACAAGAUAAAGAAUUAAACGAAGAACAAAAUGGAACAAACGAAUUACAUUACAUGAAAAAAAUACAAAAACACACUUAAAUACAUUUUUUUGAUAAAAUUAUUUUGGUGAACUAUAGUCACAAGUAGUUAUUUGCAUUAUUGUUACUGCAUAUGACUAGUAUGACUAUAUGUAGUCAACUAUAGUCACAUGUAGUUAUGUUCAUUCUUGUUACUACAUGUGAUUAUAUAUGACUACACGUACAUGACCACAUGUGACUAUAUAUGUAUAUAUAUAAAAUUCAUCUACACCACCAAAAAAGUUCACAAGUGAAUGUAUAUAAAAUGGUGAAUAUAACAAUCCGGUUGAAAAAUAAAAUUAUUACUUACCGUGCCAACAGUGUAAGGUAAUCAAUUAUGCUUCGUUCUGCUUUCC
rnacentral:lncRNA from 1 species